rnacentral:rRNA from 1 species
GUGGGGAAUCUUAGACAAUGGGGGAAACCCUGAUCUAGCCAUGCCGCGUGAGCGAUGAAGGCCUUAGGGUUGUAAAGCUCUUUCAGAUGGGAAGAUAAUGACGGUACCAUCAGAAGAAGCCCCGGCUAACUCCGUGCCAGCAGCCGCGGUAAUACGGAGGGGGCUAGCGUUGUUCGGAAUUACUGGGCGUAAAGCGCACGUAGGCGGACCAGAAAGUCAGAGGUGAAAUCCCAGGGCUCAACCUUGGAACUGCCUUUGAAACUCCUGGUCUUGAGGUCGAGAGAGGUGAGUGGAAUUCCGAGUGUAGAGGUGAAAUUCGUAGAUAUUCGGAGGAACACCAGUGGCGAAGGCGGCUCACUGGCUCGAUACUGACGCUGAGGUGCGAAAGCGUGGGGAGCAAACAGGAUUAGAUACCCUUGUAGUCC